ensembl:lncRNA
UUUCAAGUUAAAGUCAAGAAAUGUAUGCAAAAUCAAAAAGUAGAUGAUCUCGGCGGUUCUUGCUGGAUGGCUAUAGAUGAUCUUGUGGUUUUGUUUUAAUGAUUGGUAGAGGUAUAGUAUGUCUUGAAGCAUUCAAUGAAGCAGCUAUUAGUCACUGAAAACAAGUUAACUUCAGACAAUCAGUUCCUUCUCCCUCCCCCCUUUUCUUUAUUUGGAUUAGAUCUACUGAUCCAUCACGUUAGUACAAACAAAAUGAAUUGUCCUGUCAAGUUAUGCCUACACCUAAACUGACAUUUCAAACAAAACCAAUUGAAAGAAUGGAAACAGGUCUACAUGACAUGAGGCUUUCCUGCACUGCAAUGUUUUCUUCCCUGUGGGCUCUAAUGAGAUGAGUUGUGCUUACGUCUUCGGCUAAUCUGCCUGAGAAGCAAGGGAGGGUCAACUGGUAAAAUCCUUAUAAGAGCGGAGGAUCCACUUUAUAGGACAAAUGCACACAAGUCUAUCACCUCAAGCAAUGGUUUCUUAUAAGUGUGAGAAAUCAUUUGGAACAAAUCGAAUUUUUAAAUACAGCAAAUAGGAAAUAUUUACAGGUAUGUGUAAUUUGAAAAAGAUAUGGGUAACACUUAAAUUGUUUAUGAUAUUCUCUUAGAUGUUUUUUGCAAUUUUUGUACCAACUUUGUUAAGGAAAAUGUUUUGCCUUUGACAGGUCAGAAAAAGAAAAAAACAUCAGUCUUCCUACAGCUCUCUGUCUAACAUACUGAAACAACUGUAGUGUUCAACAGUGGAGAUGGAUCUUAUGGUGGAUCUGAAGUCCUUUGGGGAUCCCAUCAAGCAGUUCAGUGACUACGUGUCGGGGACAGUGGCCAAACCGGAUAACAAACGAGAAGCCAAAAAGAGUACAGGAACCCGAAGGAAGAGUAUAGUCAUUAGCACGGGGGCCCGACGAAAGAGCGUAGUUUUGAGCACAGGGGCCCCCAAGAAGAGCAUAGUUGCCAGCACGGGGGCCCGACGGAAGAGCGUAGUUUUAAGCACAGGGGCCCCAAAGAAGAGCACAGUUGCCAGCACGGGGGCCCGACGAAAGAGCAUUGUUGGAGUCCGAAGACACAGUAUAGCCAGAAGAAAGAGUGCUCCUUGCGCUAAAACUUGUGCUAACCAGAGAACUGUACCAGACUCCUGGCUUAGAGUAUACCAGGCUGACAUUCAAAGAGAACGGAAACUGAGAGAGAAGAAGAUUGCAGAGAGAUCCGUCAGAAGGAAGAGCCAGCAUUUCAGGAGCCAGCAUUGCCUUCCUAAGAGUAAGCCUAACCCAAAUGCCAAGAGGAACCAGAAAUCGACAAAGGAUGAUUCAUUGUUUGGUGCUUUCCAGGGGCUUAGUCUCAACGUGACAGGAGGCACCCAGAGCUCAUUGACCUCAGGCGGGGACCAGUGUAAAGUCAUGUGAGAGACUCAUCACCUGUACUUGAUUACCAGGCUUUGCUCACGUGCAUGAAAGCUUGGCAGAGGCUAGACUGUCACCUAACACUUUAAUCGCGUCCAUGAGCCGGUUCUUUUGGUCGAACCUACAUAUUUUGGCAGUAGCAAUUGAACCUGCGGAACAAGGUUAACUGCACUUGGCCUGAAAAAAUUGAAGAUGAACUACAAAAAACACAACCUAAAUGUGUGAUGUGCUGAUAGGAAAUGACAAUGAAGCCAAAGUCCUAAAGCUUGAUUCAAGAUUAAGUCUGAGGGAAUGUGAAUAUACAUUUCUAUCGCUUGAUCGAUUCUUUAUGCAGUAAGAGAACACUCAUUAGUGCUGAUAAUAGUUCUGCUUGUCAUGAGCUUGUGUUGGUAUUUUCUGUUCCAGAAUAAAUUACGGCAGGGGUAUUCAGAUCUGGACCUCAAAUCCACUUUCACUCUAAUUUCUUUAUUGUAACACUAAUCAGGGACUUAUGUAGACCUUAGACACAAGAUUGGUGCACUUAGUGAUCAGGUAGAACCGUGUAGGGUAAGACUUGAAUGCCCCUGAUUUACAGUGUCAAGGCCCCGGACAUGAAUACUAUUGUUGUAUCCUAUAUGUGCAGACGUGAUAACGUAAUUGAAUUUGAUUUACAUUUUCAUCAACUUUAAGUAAAUGUACGUGUGUGUGUGUGUGUGUGUGUGU